rfam:Calothrix sp. 336/3, complete genome.
UCGUGUGUGAGGAGCAAGUGUAAAUCAAAGAGCGCUUAGGGUGGAAACAAGGUAACACUCCUGAGCGCUUUUUGUU